GGUUUUGCAAAAUGGUACAUAAAACAAAAGAUACAGUGACAAUUCACGCAAUAUAUGCAAUUCUAGAUUUGGAAAUUAGUUUCUUUACGAAAUAGGCCGAUUGAGUGAUCAAAUGUAUUCCAGAUUUCCGAACAGACUCACAUAAUGGAUGAGCAUGUUCGUUUGGUUAGUUCUUCUCAAUUCCAUCCAAGCGCCAAAAUAAGAGAUAAAAAAAGAGAUGAUUAA